rnacentral:rRNA from 1 species
AUGAGUGACCGCGCGGGCAGCAGCGGCAGCGGCAGCGGCAGUGGGGACGAGUUCGGGAGGGCCGUGGCGCGGGCGGCGGUCGCGCAGGCGCUCGAGGCCGCGGGCUUCGACUGCACGCACCGCUCGGCCGUGGACGCGCUCGUCGACGUCCUCCUCCGCUACCUCACGCACCUGGGAAGGGCCGCGGCCUUCCACGCCAACCUCGCCGGCCGCGCUCUCGCCAACGAGUACGACAUCAUCCAGUCCCUCGAGGAAAUCGGCACCGACUUUGAUGGCUUCGCCGGGGCCGGCACCUCAGGCCGCUGCCUCGUCGGCUCAGGCGUCGUCAAGGACCUCAUGGCCUUCGUCGACUCCAAGGACGAGGUGCCAUUCACGCGUCCAUUGCCCAAGUUCCCUAUACCCCGCGCUCCGCAGCCCACGCCCAGCUUUGCUGUGGCUGAGAGAGAGUCUGGGAUGAGGCAUGUGCCCGAGUGGCUACCGGCCUUCCCGGACCCGCACACAUACGUCAGGACAGAGGUGUGGAGUGAGCAGGCGGCCAAGGACAGGGUGGACAUGGUCGAACAAGUGCGGCAGCGGAGGAAGGCCGAGAAGUCGCUGCUCAGCUUGCAGCAGCGAUUGGCCCUUGCGGGCGCUGAUGGGUUUCGGCCAGCGGUUUCUGAGGAUAGUGUAGCCAAAGGGAAGGAGAUACAACCAGCUGGGAGCAAGAGAAAUCCUUUUCUUGAGCCUGCUUUGCCGCAUGGAGACAAGGAGGUGUCAGAGGUUGAUAUCCCUUCUGAGCGGAAGAAACUUUCUGUCCUUGAUGCAUUUGCACCAGCAAUUCAGGGUGCAAAUGCUAUGGAGCUUGAUUCUGGGACAGGUUGGGACCAGAAUCAGAACCAAAAGAGCAUUGUUCCAAAGGUGAGGGCACCAGUGCACCUGAAGAUUGGAGUAAACAAGAAGCCCCUGGCAGUGGCCCUCAAUUCAAAUUCCAUGGAUCUGAGGGAGGACCCGUCGUUUUUGAAGGAGGAACAAAAGGAUGACCGGAAGCGGAGGGCUGGGAUGAUAUUGAGGGCAUCAAUGGAUAACCCACAGGAACUGCCCCAGAUUUAA